rnacentral:rRNA from 1 species
UGGGGAAUCUUAGACAAUGGGGGAAACCCUGAUCUAGCCAUGCCGCGUGAUCGAUGAAGGCCUUAGGGUUGUAAAGAUCUUUCAGUUGGGAAGAUAAUGACGGUACCAACAGAAGAAGCCCCGGCUAACUCCGUGCCAGCAGCCGCGGUAAUACGGAGGGGGCUAGCGUUAUUCGGAAUUACUGGGCGUAAAGCGCACGUAGGCGGACUGGAAAGUUGGAGGUGAAAUCCCAGGGCUCAACCUUGGAACUGCCUUCAAAACUCCCAGUCUUGAGUUCGAGAGAGGUGAGUGGAAUUCCGAGUGUAGAGGUGAAAUUCGUAGAUAUUCGGAGGAACACCAGUGGCGAAGGCGGCUCACUGGCUCGAUACUGACGCUGAGGUGCGGAAGCGUGGGGAGCAAACA